rnacentral:rRNA from 1 species
AUUGAACGCUGGCGGCAUGCUUUACACAUGCAAGUCGAACGGCAGCGCGGGCUUCGGCCUGGCGGCGAGUGGCGAACGGGUGAGUAAUGCAUCGGAACGUGCCCAGUAGUGGGGGAUAGCCCAGCGAAAGCCGGAUUAAUACCGCAUACGACCUGAGGGUGAAAGCGGGGGACCGAAAGGCCUCGCGCUAUUGGAGCGGCCGAUGUCGGAUUAGCUAGUUGGUGGGGUAAAGGCUUACCAAGGCGACGAUCCGUAGCUGGUCUGAGAGGACGACCAGCCACACUGGAACUGAGACACGGCCCAGACUCCUACGGGAGGCAGCAGUGGGGAAUUUUGGACAAUGGGGGCAACCCUGAUCCAGCCAUGCCGCGUGCGGGAAGAAGGCCUUCGGGUUGUAAACCGCUUUUGUUCGGGAAGAAAUCCUCUGGGCUAAUACCCCGGGGGGAUGACGGUACCGGAAGAAUAAGCACCGGCUAACUACGUG